rnacentral:lncRNA from 1 species
AACUGAAGGAACCACAGAUUCAGUUUUCUUUACAGUGUUAGCAGGGGCGGGUGAAGGAACUGUAGCUUCAGCCUUCUUCACAUUGUUGACAGGCACGGGUGAAGGAACCGUAGCAUCAGCCUUCUUCACAUUGUUGACAGGCCCAGGUGAAGGAACCGUAGCUUCAGCCUUCUUCACAUUGUUGACAGGCCCGGGUGAAGGAACCGUAGCUUCAGCCUUCUUCACAUUGUUGACAGGCACAGGUGAAGGAACCGUAGCUUCAGCCUUCUUCACAUUGUUGACAUGCCUCGCUGAAGGAACGGUAGGUUCAGCCUUCUUCACAUUGUUGGCAGACACAGCUGAAGGGGCCGUGGCUUCAGUCUUCUUUACAUUGUUGGCAGGCCCAGCUGAAGGAGCUGUGGCUUUAGUCUUCUUUACAUUGUUGACAGGCCCAGCUGAAGGAACCGUAGCUUCCUUCUUUACAUUGUUGACAGGCCCAGGUGAAAGAGCCAGAGCUUCAUUUUUCUUUGCAUCAUUGACAGGACGAGCUGAAGGAACUGGAGCUUCAGUCUUCU